rnacentral:rRNA from 1 species
UACGGGGGGGGGCAAGCGUUGUUCGGAAUUACUGGGCGUAAAGGGCUCGUAGGCGGCCAACUAAGUCAUACGUGAAAUCCCUCGGCUUAACCGGGGAACUGCGUCUGAUACUGGAUGGCUUGAGUUCGGGAGAGGGAUGCGGAAUUCCAGGUGUAGCGGUGAAAUGCGCAGAUAUCAGGAAGAACACCCGUGGCUAAGGCGGCUCUCUAGUACGGUACUGACGCUGAGACGCGAAAGCGUGGGGAGCGAACAGG